CAGCAGCCGCGGUAAUACGAAGGGGGCUAGCGUUGUUCGGAAUUACUGGGCGUAAAGCGCACGUAGGCGGACUUUUAAGUCAGGGGUGAAAUCCCGGGGCUCAACCUCGGAACUGCCUUUGAUACUGGAAGUCUUGAGUGUGGAAGAGGUAAGUGGAAUUGCGAGUGUAGAGGUGAAAUUCGUAGAUAUUCGCAGGAACACCAGUGGCGAAGGCGGCUUACUGGUCCACAACUGACGCUGAGGUGCGAAAGCGUGGGGAGCAAACAGGAUUAGAUACCCGAGUAGUCCCUGUCUCUUAUAC
rnacentral:rRNA from 1 species